rnacentral:pre_miRNA from 7 species
UUCUAGUGAAAAAUGCAUAUGAAAGAACCUAGUGGGGAAACCCCCACUCAAUUCCCAUUCGGUGCGCACCCAAGAAUCACGGACAGACGA